UACUUCUUAUUUGUUCAUGUUUUUCAUCCAGAUGUACUUAUUAUUUGUUCAUGUUUUUCAUGCAGAAACUUUUCAAAACAUGAUCAUGAACACAUCUGGAUGAUCUUGCAAUUAUUUCUCGAGAGAUUCAAGUGGUGCUAGCUAACUAAGGCCGAUCGAGUUGAUUGCAAAGAUUCAUUCAAAAACAGGUUUCGGGUGGAGGAAAGUGGUAACGAAUCCGGUCAGAAAUUUUCGGAUUUUGGAGUGAUUUCGGGUUUCGGGUGGGAUUAAUCCAAAAAUGGGCUUUGGACCGAAAAUGAGCCUUGGUUUGGAUCAGAUUUCACCCGAAUUCGACAAAGCUUUGCAAAAAAAUCGGAUUUUCGGGUUGCGGAUUAUGAUAGCGAGAGCUGUGAGCUGUGAGAGAGAGAUAUGAUGUUUAAUGGAAGCUAGUAUGGGUCAUUUGAUCGACUAAAAGAGUGGCAUCAAGUGUCAACGAAUUUCUGCCAACCAGAAAGGAAAUAUUAAAAACAGCUUUUUAUUAUUAAUUUACUUCCACUUUUAUUUACUUUGGCUUGUCAUGUAAGUUUCAUAUUUCCUCAUUUUAUUUUAAUUUUUAUAUAAUUUACUUA